CAAUGUGUUUUGUCCAAGCCCUGAAAAGCGACGCCGCGUGGUGGAAUAAAGCCCUUGGGUUGUAAACCGGAGAAAGGGAGAGAAUAAUGGCGGUACCUGGGGAAAAAGAAAUGGAGAACUUCCUGCCAACAGCCGCGGUAAUACGUACAAGGCGAGGGUUAUCCGGAUUUAUUGGGCGUAAAGAGGGCGGAAGUGGCUUUUCAAGGCGGAUGUAAAAUCUCCCGGCUUAACUGGGAAGGACCGUUCGAUACUGUUGGGCUAUAGUGCCGCAAAAGGAGAUGGAAUUCCCGGGGUAGUGGUGAAAUGCGGAAAUGUCGGGGGGAAAAACAGUGGGGAAGGGGGUCUCCUGGGCUGUUACUGACACCGAACCCCUAAAGGGGGGGGAGCAAACUGGAUUAAAUACCCUGGGAGGCCACGCCGUAAAACAUGGACACUAGGGAUAGGGAGGCCCCACCCUCUCUGUGCCCUAACUUACGGUUUUAGUGUCCCCCCUGGGAACUACUUACGCCAGACUAAAACUCAAAGGAAUUGACGGGGGGCCCGCAAAAGCAGCGGAGGGUGGGGUUUUAUUCGGUGCCCCCCCUAGAAGCUUUCCAAGUUUUUGAGUGGCAGGAAAUAGCCAAGCGAAUGGGGGUCGACCUGUUUAAUCAAGAACCGACGCCGGUUCUGCCAGGCCGCCCUCAAUUCCUUGGGGGUGGGGGUUGGGUUACUUCCUUUCCGGGGGGAACCCCUGUGGCAGGUAAUUCCCCGGGGAGGCCGCCCCACACGGGGAAGAAGGGGGGGUUACCGCGAGUCAACCUCGGCCUUACCCUCGGUUAACCCCCCGCCAUUAUGGGUUGAAAGUAGGAACAACUGGAGCGACCCGAACCCCAUCCUUUUAAACCCUCCCCGAAUUUGGAUGGAGGGCUGAAACCCCCCUGAAUUAAUUGGAGUGGUUAUAACCGGGAAAAGAGGGUGGGUUAAUCCUUCCCGAGCCUUGAAACAUCGCUCCGUCACGUAUGAAGCGCGCCACACUCUGAUGUCCGUGGGUUAACCCCAACUGUCGUGAGUGUGUCUCCUGUGUGUGUGUGUGAUUGGACGAAUAUUAUAUCGUAGACGCAGAGAGGAAAUCUCUCUGGGGUACACCUCUAGGGGGAAAUCCGUUUACAACCC
rnacentral:rRNA from 1 species